CUGUGACACCCACCCCGUGGGGAAGGCACAGGCGGGAGAAGCUAGGGAGAGCUGGGGCUGCCUACAGCUUUUUUCCUGCCUCUCAUCCCUGCAGAGAGGAGACGCCUGCAAGCACUUUGGCUCCUUGGUGGGAUUGCUGGUGCCUCUGAUGUGUGACCCCAUGCCCACCUCCCGCCAGUUGGCUGUCACCUGUCUGAGCUCCCUUCUCCAAAUCCAAGGUGAGUAGAGCGGGCGUGAGCCAGCCCUCUGCUCUCCUCCGCAGCACUACCAGAACCCCACGGGCUGGGCCCAGUUUACAGGAGGGAGAGGCACCGUGCGCAGCUCUCUUCUCCUCUCCACCCUGUCCUCUGUCUCUCCCCUGUGGAAAGCGGUUCCGUUUCCAGAAGCAUGACUUCCCUUUUCUCCCUGUGCUCUUUCCAGCCAAGGCGACCAACAGAGUCAUCCAGACAGGAGACAUCGGGAGCCUGUGUGAGGGGCUGAAUGACCGCAGCACCGUCUGUCAGCUCCAGACCGCUUCCAAAAUCGCGCGGAUUGUAUGCAGAAGCUUCUCCCUGGAACACACCAUAGAUUUCAUGAUGGCCAUCAAGGACACCUUCCGGAAGGCCAAAGGAAUGCGUGUGCGUGCUGCUGGGAAGUGGAUGAUCACCUUUCUGCAGAUGCAUGGAAAGGACAUCUGUCGGGAUCUUGAUCUUUCACCGAUCAUCUACAUCCUGCGCAGCUGCAUGUCGUCCCUGCAGCACAGCACGAACAUGCCAUUCCUGUGCCAGGCGGUGGCCAUCCUCACCCGCUGUCACGCAGACAUCACAAUUGACAGCUUCUUCCACAGGCGUUGAGCCCACAGACAGGUACUGGCACUCCUGCCUUUGCUAUUGUAGCGGUCCCAGUUGUAUCUGUCUGUAUGAGUUGAAAAUUACUCAGUCAUGACUUGAAAC
rnacentral:lncRNA from 7 species